CUUGAAAACUUCAUUCGGUUUUUUUCUCUAGUAGUACUGAUAACGGCUCAUAAUUACAGUUCUAGUUUGUCACUAAGGGAUGAUUUGUUCUUUUCAUUUUGCUCGUGUAUUUUUGACAUAUCUGAUGAUUCUCCUAUCGGCUAGAUUGUCAAUGCCAGCUAACUGUGGAGCUUCUAGGUAUGUUUAAAGUUUAUCGGAUAGAAUUCCAGGUGUUGAUUGCCAAGACCGGUCGAUCUGAAGAUACUCGAUGGCGCAACGAACGAGCGCAUUUUACACGCCUUAUUGAAUAUGUCAAGUCUGUGUGGGUAAAGGUCUUGAUUUAAACACACUCCCAGACUGAGUUUAUAAUUUGACACAUGCCAUGAUGAUUGCCGGUACGUUGACAAGAAUGUUAUGAUACACUUCCCUUGGUUUCAUCAUGGAUUGUAAAAUAACUGGUAUUCAAGGUUUCAGAUUUGUAGCUACGAAAUUUCCGCGUCGCCAAUUGUAACUAAAAGAUUUCAUGGCGUGGUUAUAUUCAGUAUUUUCUCUUUGGCUAAAAUGUAGUUUUGCUGUAUUAUUGCUAAACGUUUUGAGAAAUUGGUUUGCAACUAGGUUUCAAUAUGCAACCACGCCAUCAGCCCAUUGAAAACAUUAGGUCACGUCAGCUCAGCUAUCCAUUUAUUUUAUUAUCCUAUGACAAAUAGCACAUUCGUGGAUGUCUACAAUUUCUUGGUAGGAUAUGUGAGUAAACGUCUCUCGUGGUCGUUUUCUUCUUUCGAUCCUUGCC